rnacentral:rRNA from 1 species
CGUGGAGUGAUUUGUCUGGUUUAUUCCGAUAACGAGCGAGACUCUAACCUACUAAAUAGUUGAUAUUUUUUAUAAGAGUAUACAACUUCUUAGAGGGAUUUGCGGUGUUUAGCCGAAAGAAAUUGAGCAAUAACAGGUCUGUGAUGCCCUUAGAUGUCCGGGGCUGCACGCGCGCUACACUGGCAAAAUCAACGUGCUUGUCCUUCCCCGAAAGGGGCGGGUAAACCAUUGAAACUCUUUCGUGUCCGGGAUAGGGAGUUGAAAUUAUUUCCCUUAAACGAGGAAUUCCUAGUAAGUGUGAGUCAUUAGCUCACGUUGAAUACGUCCCUGCCCUUUGUAC